GGGGGCACAGCUCAGAGGCGGAGCACGUGCCUAGCACGCAUGAGGCCCGGAGUUCAACCCCUGGUACUUCCA
rnacentral:tRNA from 1 species